GAACAGAGAACAGAUCAGGAGGAACACUUUGUCUAAGAUCAACUUUGACAACUAUAAAGCAAUUGUGUCUUUUGUGAACAUACACAAUUCCCACUGGAAGCUUCUGUACAUCAAUGCAGCAGAAAAAAACGUGUAUUUGGUUGACCCAGCACGCAGGUCCACAGAGCUGACAGACUCAGA